UACGGAGGGAGCUAGCGUUGUUCGGAAUUACUGGGCGUAAAGAGCUCGUAGGCGGUGUGUCGCGUCGGCCGUGAAAACCUGGGGCUCAACUCUGGGCGUGCGGUCGAUACGGGCAUCACUUGAGUUCGGCAGGGGAGACUGGAAUUCCUGGUGUAGCGGUGAAAUGCGCAGAUAUCAGGAGGAACACCGGUGGCGAAGGCGGGUCUCUGGGCCGAUACUGACGCUGAGGAGCGAAAGCAUGGGUAGCGAACAGG
rnacentral:rRNA from 1 species